AAAUGAAUAGACGGGGACCCGCACAAGCAGCGGAGCAUGUGGUUUAAUUCGAAGCAACGCGAAAAACCUUACCAAGACUUGACAUCCUACGCCGUACUUAGAGAUAAGUAUUUCCUUCGGGACGUAGAGACAGGUGGUGCAUGGUUGUCGUCAGUUCGUGUCGUGAGAUGUUGGGUUAAGUCCCGCAACGAACGCAACCCUUAUCGCCAGUUGCCAAUAUUUAGUUAGGAACUCUGGCGAGACUGCCGUAGACAAUACGGAGGAAGGUGGGGAUGAUGUCAAAUCAUCAUGCCCCUUACGUCUUGGGCUACACACGUGCUACAAUGGCUAUAACAAAGAGCAGCAAACCCGUAAGGGGAAGCGAAUCUCAAAAAGAUAGUCUCAGUUCGGAUUGAGGGCUGCAACCCGCCCUCAUGAAGUCGGAGUUGCUAGUAAUCCCGAAUCAGCAUGUCGGGGUGAAUACGUUCCCGGGUCUUGUACACACCGCCCGU
rnacentral:rRNA from 1 species